CCUACGGGAGGCAGCAGUGAGGAAUAUUGGUCAAUGGGCGGGAGCCUGAACCAGCCAAGUCGCGUGAGGGAAGACGGUCCUAUGGAUUGUAAACCUCUUUAGGCGGGGAGCAAUGCCGGGCACGCGUGCCCGGAGGGAGAGUACCCGCAGAAUAAGCAUCGGCUAACUCCGUGCCAGCAGCCGCGGUAAUACGGAGGAUGCGAGCGUUCUCCGGCUUUAUUGGGUUUAAAGGGUGCGUAGGCGGAUUUUUAAGUCAGGGGUAAAACGUCCGGGCUCAACCCGGGCCGGCCGUUGAAACUGGGGGUCUUGAGUGGGAGAGAAGUAGGCGGAAUGCGUGGUGUAGCGGUGAAAUGCAUAGAUAUCACGCAGAACUCCGAUUGCGAAGGCAGCAUACCGGCGCCCGACUGACGCUGAGGCACGAAAGCGUGGGGAUCGAACAGGAUUAGAUACCCCAGUAGUC
rnacentral:rRNA from 1 species